rnacentral:rRNA from 1 species
GACGAACGCUGGCGGCGUGCCUAACACAUGCAAGUCGAGCGGGUAAGGCCCUUUCGGGGGUACGACGAGCGGCGAACGGGUGGAGUAACACGUGGGUGACCUGCCCUCAGCUCUGGGAUAAAGCCUGGGAAACCGGGUCUAAUACUGGAUAUGACUCCAUGACGCAUGUUGUGGGGUGGAAAGCCUUGUGCGGCUGAGGAUGGGCCCGCGGCCUAUCAGCUUGUU